GGAGUGUGGCUCAGUGGUAGAGCCUGUGCUUAGCAUGUAUGAAGCCCUGGGUUCAAUCCCCAGCACCA
rnacentral:tRNA from 1 species